rnacentral:rRNA from 1 species
UGGGGGAUAUUGCGCAAUGGGGGCAACCCUGACGCAGCAACGCCGCGUGAAGGAUGAAGGUUUUCGGAUUGUAAACUUCUUUUAUUAAGGACGAAAAAUGACGGUACUUAAUGAAUAAGCUCCGGCUAACUACGUGCCAGCAGCCGCGGUAAUACGUAGGGAGCAAGCGUUGUCCGGAUUUACUGGGUGUAAAGGGUGCGUAGGCGGCUUUGCAAGUCAGAUGUGAAAUCUAUGGGCUCAACCCAUAAACUGCAUUUGAAACUGUAGAGCUUGAGUGAAGUAGAGGCAGGCGGAAUUCCCCGUGUAGCGGUGAAAUGCGUAGAGAUGAGGAGGAACACCAGUGGCGAAGGCGGCCUGCUGGGCUUUAACUGACGCUGAGGCACGAAAGCGUGGGUAGCAAACAGGAUUAGAUACCCUGGUAGUCCACGCUGUAAACGAUGAUUACUAGGUGUGGGGGGUCUGACCCCUUCCGUGCCGGAGUUAACACAAUAAGUAAUCCACCUGGGGAGUACGGCCGCAAGGUUGAAACUCAAAGGAAUUGACGGGGGCCCGCACAAGCAGUGGAGUAUGUGGUUUAAUUCGAAGCAACGCGAAGAACCUUACCAGGUCUUGACAUCCAACUAACGAAGUAGAGAUACAUUAGGUGCCCUUCGGGGAAAGUUGAGACAGGUGGUGCAUGGUUGUCGUCAGCUCGUGUCGUGAGAUGUUGGGUUAAGUCCCGCAACGAGCGCAACCCUUGCUAUUAGUUGCUACGCAAGAGCACUCUAAUAGGACUGCCGUUGACAAAACGGAGGAAGGUGGGGACGACGUCAAAUCAUCAUGCCCCUUAUGACCUGGGCUACACACGUACUACAAUGGAUGUUAACAGAGGGAAGCAAGACAGCGAUGUGGAGCAAACCCCUAAAAACAUUCUCAGUUCAGAUUGCAGGCUGCAACCCGCCUGCAUGAAGAUGGAAUUGCUAGUAAUCGCGGAUCAGCAUGCCGCGGUGAAUACGUUCCC